UAAGGGCGCACGGUGGAUGCCUUGGCACUAGAAGCCGAUGAAGGACGUUACUAACGACGAUAUGCUUUGGGGAGCUGUAAGUAAGCUUUGAUCCAGAGAUUUCCGAAUGGGGAAACCCAGCAUGAGUUAUGUCAUGUUAUCGAUAUGUGAAUACAUAGCAUAUCAGAAGGCACACCCGGAGAACUGAAACAUCUUAGUACCCGGAGGAAGAGAAAGAAAAUUCGAUUCCCUUAGUAGCGGCGAGCGAAACGGGAAGAGCCCAAACCAACAAGCUUGCUUGUUGGGGUUGUAGGACACUCUAUACGGAGUUACAAAGGACGACAUUAGACGAAUCAUCUGGAAAGAUGAAUCAAAGAAGGUAAUAAUCCUGUAGUCGAAAAUGUUGUCUCUCUUGAGUGGAUCCUGAGUACGACGGAGCACGUGAAAUUCCGUCGGAAUCUGGGAGGACCAUCUCCUAAGGCUAAAUACUCUCUAGUGACCGAUAGUGAACCAGUACCGUGAGGGAAAGGUGAAAAGCACCCCGGAAGGGGAGUGAAAUAGAACCUGAAACCGUGUGCUUACAAGUAGUCAGAGCCCGUUAAUGGGUGAUGGCGUGCCUUUUGUAGAAUGAACCGGCGAGUUACGAUUUGAUGCAAGGUUAAGCAGUAAAUGUGGAGCCGUAGCGAAAGCGAGUCUGAAUAGGGCGUUUAGUAUUUGGUCGUAGACCCGAAACCAGGUGAUCUACCCUUGGUCAGGUUGAAGUUCAGGUAACACUGAAUGGAGGACCGAACCGACUUACGUUGAAAAGUGAGCGGAUGAACUGAGGGUAGCGGAGAAAUUCCAAUCGAACCUGGAGAUAGCUGGUUCUCUCCGAAAUAGCUUUAGGGCUAGCCUCAAGUGAUGAUUAUUGGAGGUAGAGCACUGUUUGGACGAGGGGCCCCUCUCGGGUUACCGAAUUCAGACAAAC
rnacentral:rRNA from 1 species